AUAAAUAAAUUUUUUAUAGUUUUAAUAAUUUAUUUAAAGUUUAUUUUACAUAUAAAUUUUAGUAUUAAUUUUACUUUAUUUUAAUAAUAAUUUAAUUAAUUUGUAGUAAUUAAUAUUAAACAAUUUAAGUAAUUAAGAUUUAGUAAUAUUUGAAAUUAAUAACAAAUUUUGUGCCAGCAGUUGCGGUUAAACAAAAGUUAAUUUAAAUUUUAUUAGUUAUUAAUAAAUAAUAAUUUUAAUUAAAUAAUAUAAAUUUUAAAUUAUUAAGUGAAAUUUUAAUUUAAUUUAAUAUUAUGAUAUAUUUAUGAUUUAAUAAAUUUUAUAAAAAACUAGGAUUAGAUACCCUAUUAUUAAAAUUUAAAUUAAAAAUACUAAAAUAGUAGAUAAUUAUUUAUUGAAACUUAAAUAAUUUGGCGGUAUUUUAGUUCAUUUAGAGGAAUCUGUUUAAUAAUUGAUAAUCCACGAAUAAAUUUACUUAAUUUUUUAUUUUGUAUAUCGUUGUUAAAAAAAUAUUUUUUAAUAAUAAUAAUAUUUAAAAAUUUUGAUUAAAAAUUAAAUCAGAUCAAGAUGCAGAUUAUAGUUAAGAAUAUAAUGGAUUACAAUAAAUUUAUUUAGAUGAAUAUUAAUUUGUAAAAGUUAAUUGAAGGUGGAUUUAAAUGUAAUUUUAUUUAGUUUAAUAAAAUGAUUGAAAAUUGAAAUAUGUACAUAUUGCCCGUCGCUUUCAUAUGAGUAUAAGUUGAAAUAAGUCGUAACAAAGUAGAGGUACUGGAAAGUGUUUCUAGAAAGAA
rnacentral:ncRNA from 1 species